AGAGAACGUUCGCUGUUGAUGUA
rnacentral:miRNA from 2 species